rnacentral:rRNA from 1 species
UGGGGAAUAUUGCACAAUGGGCGCAAGCCUGAUGCAGCCAUGCCGCGUGUAUGAAGAAGGCCUUCGGGUUGUAAAGUACUUUCAGUCGGGAGGAAGGUGGUAAGGUUAAUAACCUUAUCAAUUGACGUUACCGACAGAAGAAGCACCGGCUAACUCCGUGCCAGCAGCCGCGGUAAUACGGAGGAUGCAAGCGUUAAUCGGAAUUACUGGGCGUAAAGCGCACGCAGGCGGUUGAUUGAGUCAGAUGUGAAAUCCCCGGGCUUAACCCGGGAAUUGCAUCUGAUACUGGUCAGCUAGAGUCUUGUAGAGGGGGGUAGAAUUCCAUGUGUAGCGGUGAAAUGCGUAGAGAUGUGGAGGAAUACCGGUGGCGAAGGCGGCCCCCUGGACAAAGACUGACGCUCAGGUGCGAAAGCGUGGGGAGCAAACAGG